UACUUGGAUGAUAUUCUCUUUCAGUCCAUGGAGAUGGAUCCAUGCACUUCAACUAAUGAGUUGAGAGUCUUUGUGGGGACUUGGAAUGUUGCUGGAAGGUCUCCCAUAGGAAGCUUGGCGGUGGAUUUGGAUGAGUGGUUGAA